CUUCGCUCUAACUGCUGAUAGUGACAGACAGGAAGUCUGACAGCAUCUGUCCUGAUCUCUGGCUCUCCGCUGCAGGACGCCGACUUCUCCGUGCUGCGCCGCAGGCUGGAGAACCUGGAGAGCGCCCAACAGCAGCAGCUGGAGGAGCUGGGAUCUCUGGUGCAGAAGGAGGCGGCUCCUCAGCCUGACCUCUGACCCACGUUCACCUCAGCUUCUUCAUCACAGCUCACAAACGUUUUCUUUUUUUCAAACGAAAAAUAUUAUUUUUAUAACUCUGUGAAACGGGUAAAAAAGAAACGACUCAGGGUUUCAUUUUUGUAUAAAGAUCUUUGUUUACAUGUUUAAUGUAUUGAUAUAAAAUGUGUAAAUUGUACAGAAACGGUUGGAUUCCCUGGUGUGUAAACUCUGACCGGACGUUUGCUCCACGCCUCCGUCAGUCAGUUCCAG